AUUGAACGCUGGCGGCAUGCCUUACACAUGCAAGUCGAACGGUAACAGGUCUUCGGAUGCUGACGAGUGGCGAACGGGUGAGUAAUACAUCGGAACGUGCCCGAUCGUGGGGGAUAACGGAGCGAAAGCUUUGCUAAUACCGCAUAAGAUCUACGGAUGAAAGCAGGGGACCGCAAGGCCUUGCGCGAACGGAGCGGCCGAUGGCAGAUUAGGUAGUUGGUGGGAUAAAAGCUUACCAAGCCGACGAUCUGUAGCUGGUCUGAGAGGACGACCAGCCCCACUUGGACUGAGACACUGACGAGACUCCGACGGGAGUCAGCAGUGGGGAAUGUUGGACACUGGGCGCAAGCCUGAUCCAGCCAUGCCGCGUGCAGGAUGAAGGCCUUCGGGUUGUAAACUGCUUUUGUACGGAACGAAAAGACUCUUUCUAAUAAAGAGGGUCCAUGACGGUACCGUAAGAAUAAGCACCGGCUAACUACGUGCCAGCCGCCGCCGUAAAAC
rnacentral:rRNA from 1 species